CACCCUACAAGACGCAGGAGCCACAAGAAGGAAGGAAGGGGCCUCGUCCUGUAUAACUUCAGGGACCAGGGCUGCCCAACAGCCUUUGUUGCCGGGGAGACUAUCAGGAGUCGGCAAGCAGGCCAUCUGUGUUGGAACCCGGGCCCACCCAUUCACUUCUGUAUCGGGGAUGUCAGCUUUCACACUACAAUGAUGAGUAAUUGACAGAGACCACAUGAGCCAGAAAGCCAAAAAUAUUGACUAUCUAGGCCUCUCCAGAGAACAUGUGCCAGCCCCAGUUCUGGACCUACAACUGUUUUACUCGGAUGUAACAUUUUUAUUAUGUUAAUAAAUCUUUUAUCUUUUAA